rnacentral:rRNA from 1 species
CACGUAGUUAGCCGGGGCUUCUUACUCAGGUACCGUCCUUUUUCUUCCCUGCUGAUAGAGCUUUACGUACCGAAAUACUUCUUCACUCACGCGGCGUCGCCGCAUCAGGGUUCCCCCCAUUGUGCAAUAUUCCCCACUGCUGCCUCCCGUAGGAGUCUGGGCCGUGUCUCAGUCCCAAUGUGGCCGUCCGCCCUCUCAGGCCGGCUACUGAUCGUCGCCUUGGUAGGCCGUUACCCUCCCAACCAGCUAAUCAGACGCGGGCCCAUCUUAUACCACCUCAGUUUUUCACACUGCGUCAUGCGCCGCUGUGCGCUUAUGCGGUAUUAGCAGCUGUUUCCAGCUGUUAUCCCCCUGUAUAAGGCAGGUUGCCCACGCGUUACUCACCCGUCCGCCACUAGAAUAUGACUUCUUCCAUUCUGCAAGCAGCUCUUCCGAUGUCUUAUCCCCGUUCGACUUGCAUGUGUUAAGCACGCCGCCAGCGUUCAGUCCUGACGCCAGG